AGCCCCUUUGUCAGUCAUUGCCUGAGAGUGGUUGGGACAGGUGACCCCGCAGUUGAGGCGACCCCCCACGAUCUCUGGAAAAGGCAGCUGAGCCCCAGUUGCAGCAGGUUGGGGGGAGAUGGUGCUGCCACAGCACGAAGGACCUAGCCCCAGUGGCACCCACCACUGUCAGAACUCUCUACCGAGGGCCAGGGUGGAUCUUUCCUCCCACAUCCAAGCGCAUCUGACAUCUUCACCUUGAAUCCUGAGUUUCUCUCUUAACUCUGUCUCACUCUGUCAUGAACAAACUCUUUCUUGAAAGUUGUAUUUCUCUGGGGCCAGAAAGGCGAGGAAAGAGGCGCUUUCUCCGGGGAGGUGGGGCUAGUGUGUCCCUGUCGUGGCUGAGAGUGACUGCCCCAGCACCUACGAAGAAAGCCCAGAGACUCUGGAGGCUCAGCUGGGAUAACGCCUGGCGUGCUCGGGGGUCAUGGCCACCGCCUGGACUCUGGAAAAAUGGGGAAAAUGCUCUUGGCAGACAGCGGGGCAGUCAGGAGGGAGCCGGCCCCACCAGCCCAGGCAACGCCCGAGAGCUGUCCUCCCACUCAGCUCCAGGAGACGUUUAAAUGGGGCCUGACUCCCCCUGUCUCUGAUUUAAAAGAUAACCAGAAGCAGCAGAGAAAACAUCUGAAGUGCUUCCUGGACACACCGGUUAGGAAGUUUCUGCGAGAACCCAGGUCCUCCUUCCCACCAGACAUGAGGAUUUUAACUUGAUCAUCUCUGCAAAGACCUUAUCUUCAAAUACAGUUACAUUCUGAAGUCCUGGGGGUUAGGGCUGCAACACCCGAAUUGGAGGAGACAUAAUCCAGCUCCUGACAACACUGCGUGUGAUAGCUGCGUCUCUGCCUGCAGUACUGUUUUCCAGUGAAAGCAUCUUUGAGUGUAUUCAGAAAGCCUCUCUCUGGGGCCAGGCCUUGCAGAGAAUCCUUCAGAAACUGGACAACCCCACCCAAAGCAGUCAGUGGGGAGGACAUAUUUGGUGCCUCAUUGCUCCCUGGAUCUGCCUCGCAGUCCUCAAUGUUCUUUCCUGUUCCCUCUACUCUUUCUCCUCUUUGGUUGACCUAGAAGCUCAUUCCUGGUGAAGGCCCCGUGGGAGCAGUGCAAUGACAAGAGGGGCCUGUUUUCAUCAGCACCCUCACGCUCUCCAGGGGUCCAUUGGAGGCGCCUAUGACCUCCUGAUGCUGAGGAGCCUAGAGUGGGCAGCCCUCGGGCCCAGGCUCCACCUGGGUGAGGCCUGUUUUAUUAUCAGUACUCACCACAGUCAUUUGUGGGAGUGUAAUGCUCAUAUUCCCAUUUAAGAGAUGAAUAAACUGAGGCAAGGUGAAGUGACUCAGCUGAGGCCACACCACAGUUUAAUGGGGAAGCCAGGAUAAGAGCUGGCGGCUUCUAUGUCUAUGAUCUACACUCUGAUGGGAGGUCAUCAGAGAGCCAUGUAAACGGUGAGGAGGUGACAUGCUGGUCCCUUCCAUAAAAGCUGUUUUGCAAAAUUAAAACACACACACAGUAAAGAUCCAGAUUUAUGCAAGUGAGAGUGAGGGGCUAUUUACCAGUCAACAGAUAUCCCCAAAUGGUUCUCUGCUUGGGGUUGAGAUGCUCCUGACCAGCAGGGCUUGGGGAGAGACAUUCUUGCUCCCCCUAGAGCUGGCUGACCCAUACCCAGGGGAUUCUGAGCACCAGGGGCUGGGAGCAGCAUGUACCACGUGUUUCCCAAGAGUUAGUCAUGUUUGCUCCUAAAACUUAUUGUAAUCGAGGAAUCUAAUUAAACAAUACAGCAACUGAAGAAACAGUGCAAAAAGAAUGAGUGACUGUUUCUAUGAAAACUUAGAUGAACUACUUUGGAAAGAUUCAAUAAAAAGCAUGCCUAAAUAUAUAUACUGGGGCCAGGAGCAGUGAUUCACACCUGUAACCCCAGUGCUUUGGGAGGCUGAGGUGGGAGGGUGGUUUGAGGCUAGGAGUUUGAAACCAGCCUAGGCAACAUAGCAAGACCCUGUCUCUACAAAAAAACAAAAAUUUUUCAACUGGUUGUGGCAGCACCUGCCUAUGGUCCCAGCUGCUCUGGAAGCUGAGGUGAGAGGAUCACUCGAGCCCAGGAGUUCAGGCUGCAGUGAGCCGCAAUUGUGCCACUGCACUCCACCCUGGGCAACAGAGCAAGACCCUGUCUCUAAAAAUAAAUAAAAUAUGUACAUCCAGAUACAGUAUUAUGUGUGGGCGAGACACCGGUAAAAGAUGGAAACAAUCAUAAAAGUCAGGCAGGAUUCCACCUAAGAUUGUCCUUAGCUCUCAAUCUACCUUGUUUUAAAAUUUUUUUAUGAGCCAUAAAAGACCUAUGACUAGUCUUUAUUGUACAACUUGAUGAAUUCUGAUCCUGUGGCCAUACGGUUCAAAAUAGAGAGCAUUCCAGCACUCAGAAAGCUCCCUAGUGCCCUCAUUGGUUGGUGCCUGUCAACCCCAAGGAUGUCAUAGUCAUUUGGACCCCCCUGGCACAGUCAUUCCACUUAGAGACUCUGCCAGAAGUCCCAGAUCAUAAUCAGGAGUGAGAUUUACACAAGAAGGGGCCGGAAGCCCUAGUGAGUAGUGAACUCAACUCCAAAAUAACCCUACACUAAAAAUAAAACUGAAACGUACUUUUUAUGUUUGAAAUUUAAAUAAGAUAGAUGUAUUUUUGUUAAAUCAUUCCAACCUUUACAACUGUUCUAUUCAUCAGCCAACUAGCCAGAGAAAGGGGGUUUCUGCUGCUGUCGGAGUAUAAAAAUGAGCUGCAAUUUUCAAAAUUUGACCUCAUCUAACUUUCUACAGCUAUGCCAUUCCUGGAGCAUCCUCAGUCCAGUGCCUGAUGCAUAAAACAUAAUAAAAAGGUGACCCCACCACACCAAACGCUGGGGUGUCUGUAGCAGUGA